rnacentral:lncRNA from 1 species
UCUCUCUCUCUCUCUCUCUCUCUCUCCUCAAAGUUUUUGCCAAUGCCGGCGACGAGGACGGCCUGACAGAGGAGGAGGAAGCAUGGCGAAGUUCUUUGGGGACGCGGCGUCGGUGCUGAUGAAGGUGCUGAUGAGGAAGAGCAUCAGCCUGUACGCCGAGUUCUCUUACCUCUUCACCGACCUCGCCUCCCUCGUCGUGUCGGCUCUCCGGUUCUCCACCAUCGUGGCCAGGCAACCUUCUUCUUUCCCUCCUCAUCCUUCUACGUCUUCCACUUCUGCUGCUGCUGCUGCUGCUUCGACCUCUGCUUCUUCUGCCAGAAGGUACUCGCCGAUCCUGAUGUCCAUGGCCAUCCGACACCGUGUGUACUGAGCUCGAUCGAUGCGGUUGACAUUGUGCUGCUGGAUCUUCCUUUUCUUGCCCUCUUGUCUUUUGGGGUUGGCUUACGUGGGGUGUUCGGAACUUGCCCAUGAUUCGUUCGUAUGGCGAUGAGGGGAAUCUAUGCAAGUCUCUGGUUUCCCAGGCGCAAAAUGUUUGUUCUUCUUGAUGAUGGGAUGGUUCUUGCUGGGGAUACUAUUUGGGACGCCGGUUUGUUUUUAUGAUUAUCGAGAUUUCCAGCCGCGGGACAGGUUUGAGAUUUCGUUAUGUAUGGGUUCCUGUAGGCUUGCGACCGAUCUGCGAUCUGUUUCGCAGAUGAUUAGGAAACUCGAAUUCAACGAGACAUUUUGCUCGAUUGUGUGAUGAGACUGUGUGAUGAGACGCAUCAUGUAUCAGAACAUGUAAUAACCGAUAAGUACUAAUUUACUCCUUUUCCUUUUCACAAUCUGAACAAUGGUUUUUCCAAUCAUCGUGAUUGUCUGAAUUUAGGAAAGUAAGGUGGUUUUAUUAGAUCACGUUGUUGACACCCAAAAAUGGCAAAGUGUUGCGAGAUAGCCGAUGAGCAGGGUUUGAUCGAGAAGAACAGAUUUGAUCUGAGAAUUAGGGCAGUCGAGAAGAUCGGCAAGUCGAUGUCUAGCACAAUCGACAAGAUUCUUCAUCCAGAAUUCAAGAAUUGAUCGAUAACAGCAGGCUCUAUUAGAUUUUGACCAAGUAUAAGAAGACAAUCGAUGAACGGAGUGAAAAAAUGAUUGCUUUGCUGAUUAAGAGGCAAGGGUGGCAAAUUGACGCGCGUCUGUAACUGUCAAAUGGUCAAAUCGAUAAUUUAGGUACUUGUAACUUCUUAUAGAUAAAUGUUGUUGAUGAAUGAAACUAUGGGUGAAUUUGUGAUUAUUCAAUAACUGUGUAUAUGUAAAUGUCGAUGGUGGGUUAUAAACACUUUCAGUGUAUACGUUGUAAAGGUUACUCAAUCAAUCUUAGAACAUCCAAUGUUAUUUUUCAUAAUCCUUUAAUUUGUAGCAUUAUUUACAUUGCUAGCAACUAUUGUUUUUGGUAUUCUUACCAUUAAGUUUCCAGCCAUUUACUUUCCUGUCUAAAAUCAAUAAAAAUGCCUUCACAACCAUUUAUCAAUUUAUUCAAAUCCAUCACACUUAAGGAUUUUUCACUUUUCUGGCGAAAAUGAUGAAAGUGCAAAAUCUGUCUUUUACGAUUUAGCUACUAGUCAACUGAGUCUUUAAUGUUUUAAAAAAUGUUCAAUCAAGUGAUAAACUUGUUGCUAAUAGAUUUAUAAUGUUGGAAACUCGAUGUGGCUUUCAAGCUCAUUUGUGGCCAAAUGGUAUUAAUGAAAGCUCGAGUCAGAGACAUGUAAGAUAUCCAACGUCAAAACCCCAUUAAUAGUGAGUUUAGGAUUUGAUUAUACAUAACAUUAAGUACUUAUUCUCACUUAUUACCUAGAAGCAAAUGGAUUUCAUGAUAAACCUUGCAUCUGAGCCUUUGCUUGCCGGGGGAAAGGAAGUCCAGUGCACUUGCCAAAUAAAUAGGUUGGAGGAAGGCCACUCUGAUGACAACUUGUUCACUAAGGUCCAUAUUGUCGUAAUUCGUAUAUAAUGUCUUGUAACAUAUAAUAACUCAGAAAGUUAAUGAUCGCGAGUGAGCUUCGGUUCUUAUAUGAUGCAAUGCCUAUGAAUUCCCUGAGAAAUUUAGGGGCAACUCGAGCGAGGAUACAAGUUCUCGCCCAAAUAAUUUGGUUUCUUGAAGUAAACCCUAACCAAACUUCUUCUGACCAAACAACACAAGAAAAGGCCACCAAACAGAUGCAAGGUGAAACGUAAAUGGUUGCUUCCUAUAAAAGGUCAACAUUAUGUACAUGCCCACCUGUAUACAUUUGAUUCAAAACCCUCGUCUACAAUCUCCGAUUUCCGUUGGUCUGAUGGGUAGUUGGAUUUGAUACCGUGCCGCUUUCCGAUACUUCCAGCAAGCAAGCUAUUUCCAUCUUCUAGUUCACUCUAAUUACAGAGAACUUGUCACCCCCUCUCCCUCCCUCUCUCCCUCCCUCUUUUAAGUUUUGGCCUUUUUUCGUCUUUUUAACUUUUGGAGGGGAGGGAUUUGACCUAAAUCUCUCCCUCCCCUCUUUAUUGCUUUUUUUUUUUCUCUUAUUUCUUUCCUUACUCUCCGAAUCUAGAUUUAGAUUUGGGAUUUUGAUCUCCCAAUCUUAGGUUUGAGAGUUUUUCUCUCUAAUCUAAUUUUAGAUUUAAGAGUUUUAAUGAACAAGUACUUCACCUCCAAUCUCAAUGGUGUUCACAGUAGUUUCGGUGUCAAAUUUGUACUCGUUCAAUUUUGGAUAGCUCGCUUUCACAGGUCUUAUAUUGUAGGAGGCCUGUGUCACCAAUUGAAACGGACAAAACAUGUACAGCCUUAGAUAGAAAUUUUAAAAAAAUCACUUUUUUUUAAUAUGUGUCCAACCAUUCUUUCUUGAAUUUAACACAUAUUGGCACGCCAAUUCUCGUUCGUUUGAUUUUAAUUAUGUAUUUUAAACUUAAUUAUACUUUUUCAAUAAGAAAAACUCAUUCAUGUUUUAUUAAAGUGUUUCGAGUAUAAAUAAUGUAUUUUCUAUUACUCAUAUUUCAUAUUACAUAUAUUGUAAUACAUGUUUUUAUUUUUAAAAAUGACUUCAGGCCAAUCCAGGCCAUUUCUGGCUCGAAAAUCUCGGGCCCGAAGGCCCAAACCCGCUCGGAUGGAAAAAGUAUAUAUGAUAAACUCGAAAUUCUAGCUAUGGCAUUAGCCUCCAAAAUUAGGCUAGUCUACGCUUUCGGGCUUCGGCUCUUUCUUCUUCCCUUCUUUUGAGCUGGGAUUUAUUUUUAGUUUAAUUUUUUUGCAAAAAUUUGGGCGUGUUUUGACAAAACUGCCCUUGAUUUGCUUAAUAUUGGGUACCUUGAUAAUUCGUUCAAUUAAGUAUCCUUCCAAUAUAUGGCUCAACGUGGCCCUUCUGGCAAAUAAAGUGCCACGUCAUCAAGCUUUUGCUGACUUGGCUUGUCCACUCACUGAAAAAAAACUGCAUUUUUGCUCUGUUUCUUAUGUUUAAUGUUCAAUUCACUCAUCAAUCAACAACACAUUCAAUGCGUCGGGGACAAGGUUUAUGAUGUAGCCUGUGUGUUGCAUCAUUGUCCUUGCAAAAACAUGACCUUAAAAUUGAACAUGUGUUCGUCUUGUCCAUUGCAUUUCCAUAAAUUGGGAUUAUAAACUCAAUUCGAAAAUGAAUUUUAAUAAACUUCCCAUAUCUCCUUCCAUGUUUUUUGUUCGACAUGCGACCCUAAUGCUACUCACUGUCAUGCCAGGUGUCAUCACUUGUCUAGCGAUGGGUGCUGCACUGUCAUUUGCUGCACUUGGUGCCAUCAAUCCUAGCAUCUGUGCUGACACCUCUCUUCCACUUUAGGUAUUGUAUACAAAAAAGAAAAAGAAAAAAAAGACAAUUUUUGUAAUUAACAUGGGGUUGAUUUGAGCGAGUAUAGAACUCGGUGUUAAAUUCGACUUAGUUAUUGGUAAUUUGCCAAUAAUAUAAAUAGUUGUUGAUCACAUGAUAAUUAUUGAUGACUAAGGAAUAUAGAUGUCGACAUACGAUAGUGUGAUUGGUCAACAAUUAUCACUUAACGGGUUGGGUAGGUGUUGAAUAUAGAGGAAAGGAAGAAAGAGGACAAAGUGGGAAUGUGGAUUGAAGAUAAAGAUUCCAAUUAAGGGUCAAACCUGGUGACGCUUAAGGAGUUGUAACUGCUUGUUGGUAAGGUCGAUGUGCGAUUAUAGAGCCUAAAAAUAUGAAGAUGUGGUUGUAAUGUUAUACUUUUUAGUAGCCUAUAUAAAGCCGUGUGUAAUUGUUAUGAGGACAUAACUACCAUCACAAUAACUUAUUUAUUUUCACAAUUUAUCCAUACUCACAUUUCAUUCCCUUGAAAAUUUAAUUAUUCUCGAUCAUUAUUAUGCAAUUCAAUUUUUGUCCGAAUCACCGCUAGACCUGUUCAAUAAAAAAUGAAGAUCAACCUUUGUGAAAUGUAUUUCACCGAUUUGGACAGCUUUCAAUCUCUAGUGAAACAUAUAUCUAGUGCUAACUUCCAUAAACUAGGCAUUGCGUUUUCUAGAAAAUUCCAUAAUAAAAUUCUUUGAUCCCAUCCGAUUCACUAAGACAUCGAGAAAAGCAAAUAGUGUUUCACAAAAUUUUGGAUAUGAUAAUUGAAUCGGUAUAAUAUUUACAAUCUUAUGAAUAUAAAAAAAUAAAUUACUCGUGAUGAAUUAUUAGAUCCAAAAGUAAUAAAGAAUUAAGUGUACUAAUUUGUCAAAAAAAGUUUUGUUGACACCUAAAUUUUGGCGAUCCAUUUAGUCAUUUAUUACAUAAAAAUUAGGGGUUAAUUUUAUCCUUAAAAAAAUAUAUUAAUUGCAUAGCUACAUUUAGUUUGCAUAUUUUGCAUUUUAUUUACUGGACCGGUGGCGGAUGGAUCGAAUUGGUGGUUUUGAAUUUUAAAUUAAUAGGCCGGGCUAGGCCCAUGAAAUGAUAAAAUUAACCCAAGCCCGUCGUUGUUGUUUAAUUGAUUAUCUUGUGAAAAUUUAAGAUUUGAUGCGAUAUUAUGAUGAUUUUUGGAAAUUAAAAAAUCGCACUGUAAUCUUAAAGUUGGGAAUAUUAAGGAGGAUAAGGAAUAUUCUAAAAUAUUUUGUUGCAGAUGGAUAUCUCGAAAGAUUUUAGAAUUGGAUAAUAGAGUUUUAUCUAAAGUGAAUUAUUUGGAAAAUCUUCACAAAAAAAUUCCAGUUUAUCUUUAAUCGCUGAGUCAGCAUAUAAAAUCUUCAAUGGUCGAGCGAGUCAGCUUGGAAGAUUUUAAUAAAUGAUUUCAAUGGCCGAGUGAGUCAGCAUACACGAUAAUCUCGAAAGAUGAUCUUCAGCGAUUGAGUUGUUAUGCAAAUCUUCGUAGGUUGAGCAGACUAAGUUUUCACUCUAUAAAUGGGGGUGGCCUUCUCUUCGUCCGAGGGGGAGCUUUUUUUGAAAAAAUUCAGAAAUAAGGGAAGAGAAAGGUAAAAAGAAGCUUUGCUUCUGCAGUAAAAAAAAGAAAGAGAGAAAGAGUACGAAGGAAGAGGGAGAGUGACGUGAGAGAGGGAGAGAGAGGAAGAAAAGUCAAAAGGACAAAAAAGGAAAAGUCAGAACGUGAGAGAGAGAGAGGAGAAAAGGUAAAGUGAAAAGGGGGUGAUUUGACCCCUACUGUUCAUCGUCUCCCCCAACUUGCUGCCCACGUUGCUGCUCCAUCCGUGACGCUCGUUGCAGCUCCAUCCGCACUGCUCAGAGCUCCUUCGCCUCGCCACGCUGCAGGACGUGUGUGCGACCACCACCGCUCCUCGCCUUCCACGAAGCCCGACGCCCUCCUCCGCUUUUCGCCGGUAAUCGAUCCGCUCAACGUCGCCUGCUGUUACUCGGAGCCGAAGCCCUGCGACCACUGCCCAUUCCCCUUCCGACGUUGCUGCGGCUCCUGUUCUGCUCGUUGUCGCGCCUACUGCGUCUCCACCACCGCCGGCAGUUGAACCGCAAGCCAUCGCCGCUCCGCCGGUUGUCCGCGACCGCCCAGCGCCGAUUUGCCUCUCACCAGUCCGACGGAGCUACCGCCUUGCCGCACCGCAACCCAGCCGUGCUGACUCGUGUGCCCUGCUCUGAGUACUGCCCGUGCCCCAAAAUCGCGACGCCACUGGAGCCCCAAAUCAGUCGUACCGCCGAGCCGAUUUGCCCUCUGUUCGCGAUCUGCCUGCAACCCGCGCUGGUCCGAGAUCUGCCGUCUUGCCCCGCCGCGCCUCCUUCGCCCGUGCCGCCCCUGUCUCGCCUGACCCGUGACCAGCUGUGCCUGCUGCGGCCCUUGCCGGAGUUCCCCUUCGCCGGACCUUCGCCGGACCGAUUGACCCGCUGCCCUUGGAGACCCACGGUUACAAGCAGGAAAAGAAAAACAAAAAAAGAAAAGGAAAGGGAAAUUAGGUAGUUUUAUUCUUUUUCUAUUUACUUUAUUUUAUUUAUUUCUUUUAAGUUCAGGAGUAAUCUUUAUUUUAUGGAUUUUGUAGGCAUUAUCCAUAGGUCUUCCCCAAAAUUAUUGUAAUUACUAAUUUGAUCCGUAAGAUGUCGGAUAAUUUUUUUAAUUAUAUUAAUUUUUGGGGUUUGUUGAUAUGUUUUAAGUGCUGGAUCAAUGUAAUUAUUAAUUUGAUCCGUAAGAAUUCGGAUCAGAUUUUUGGUUAUUUUGAACUCUUUGUCGUGAUAAUUAGGGUUAUGAUAAUCGUUAAUUUGACAUGUGAGACAACGGGUUAUUUUUUCCAAUUAUUUUAAUUCUUUAUUUGAUUGCAUAUCUUGAUUGUUUAGAUUUAAUGUUUAGCUGAUAAUUGCUUGUUUUGGAUAAUCACUAAAAAAAUCAAAAAAAAAUAUUCGAAUUAAGAUUUAGUUUGUUUUAGAAUAUUUCUUGUUAUCUUGCAUAUCUAGGAUAAGGAUUUCAGUUUGAAAAAUAUAAAAAAUGCAUUAAUUUAGGAUUUUAGUUGCAUGUUUAAUUACGUGGCAAUUUUAAAUUUUGAAUUUUAAAUAAAAAAUAAAAGAUAAAAAAUAUCAUGCAUAUGUCAUGUAGAAUUAGGGCUUGCUCCGCACGUCAUUGCAUAUUAGAUCUAUUACAUGUUAGAUUAAGAUAAUAUCUUAAUUUAAAUUAGGAUUUAAUGUGACUUAAUCCUUAGUUUAAAUUAGAUAGAAUUUUAAUCUAGCUAGAUCAUUUUUGCAUUUUUAAAUAGAAAUAUCAAAUGCACGUCAUUUAGUUUUUAUUAGGUUCAUUUAAUUAGAACUUCCUUGUCAUUAGACUAAAUCAUUUAAUAAAUGUCGCAUGAUAUAUAACUCGAGUGCUAAAUUAUUUGCGGCAUGUCAUCUUAGUUUAAAUAAUUUUGUAUGUCAUUGCAUCGCAUUGCAUGUCAUUAGAAUUAGGUCAUUUAGAUUGCAUUUAAUUAUUGCAUUUCUUCAUGUCAUAUAGUUUAGGUCAUGCUGCCAUGUCAUAUUGGAUUAUUAACAUGCAUUGCAUAAGUCAUGAUUUUCAUUAAAUAAAAUGAAAACAAAAAUUGAAAUUGCGUGUUAAUUAGAAAUCAUAUCUAGGGCUGCUGAUGCGAAUUCUGAUUUAACAAUGCAGAUGCUUUCGUUGCUCCUAGGUAUGUUUUGCAAUAUUUAAUUGCUUUCUUGAGUGUUAAAUUGGUGGUAUGCGCACAUGUUUGAUCACCUCACAUAUUAGGAAGUUAGUUUAAAAUCAAUUCAAUUGCCAAAUAUUUUUGAAAAUGAAAAGAAUGGUACCGAAAGGGCAUUAGAGAAAUCUAAUGUAAUCAAGUCCCCGUACCCUUAGUCUUUAGUUCGUAGGAGUAAAGUAAUUAUCCCAUUAUUUUACUUAGGUAUCUAAUCGACCUAUCAUAAACUGAUUAGUGGCGACUCCUAAAUAAAAUCAAUUUUCAUGUUAAGAAUUCAAACCUAAGUCGCGAAUUGGUAUGGGCUUGGGAGAGCCCGAGUUAAGUUUAGGCUUAACAAUCCAUUAACCUAAUUUUAGGUGAUUCACACCCCGCGAAAAAUUCCGGUCGCGACAAGUUUACUAAACAAUUAUUCAGUUAAUUAAAUCGUGAUGAUGGCAUAAGCUAAAGUAGGCUACAGUGAGAUUAAAUGCUUCUUUUCUUUUUUCCUAUUAUUAUUUUCAAUAAAAACAAGUUGACCGUCCAUUCUUUCUGUCAGGGGGGUGUCGACAUAUUUCGGGGGGGAGCUUUGGACUUUUGCUCGGGGCGACGGGGUUUGAAAAGAUCGAGGGUCGUGUCGGCUCGGGAUGAGUUCAUGAUGUCGUCAUUCUGCAGCGCCUGAUCUUGUCUCCGCCGGGCCCUUCUUUUACGGUUUUGCCCUUACUCGCUCUGUAUCUCCCACGAGCUGCCACUGGAACCUAAUAUGAAAGAGUGCUUUAAAAAAAAAAAAAGCAGAAUAGAUAAGUACACUUAAAAUCCCACGUCCUAAAAGUGUAGUCAAGCCCUUAAAAUUUUAGAAAUUUGAAAGAUUUAAAAAAAAACAAUCAACAAAAUGACUUGAUUUAAUUAAUUUAAAAAAAUUUAUGAUUUAAUUGUACUUUUUAAAAAUUUUCAGAUUAAUAAAUUUUAAUACUUGAUUGGAUAUUUUUAAAGUCUUAUAACUUUCGUCAUAAAUUUUAAGAUUUCCAUUACACUUAUGAAUAUAUAUAUAUAAAUUCUUGUUCUUGCCUUGCCCUCCAUUGGUCUAGCUGCAAAUUUUUUUUAAGUACCAUCAAAGGUUGAUCAAACAUUUGUUUUUGUGAAUUUUCUAUAUUUUUCGUUUGAAGGGACAUGUUCAGGUCGAGUUUGAUUUAAAUUGAAAAUGAUAAAGAGUUUCGACAACGGUUAAAAGAGCUUUAGUUAGCUUGAUUUUGAUAUAUGACCUUUUACUAACAAGAGAUGGAUGUAUUUAUUUGGAAUCCAAGGCAUUACCGUCUGUUGCAUACCACAAACAAAGGAACCUCUUUUUUCCGGACUUGAUUAAUCGAGUCGAAGAAAUUGAAUAGGGUUUUAUCUAAUAAAUAAUUCUAGCAUUAUAGCUAAAAAAAAAUCUUGACUAAUAUUAGACACAUAUGAACUUUUCGAAUUGUAUGAUAGGAACUUUACAAAGUAAGGCCAGCCUUCGUUUCAAAGUUAUCAUCUCUCCCUCUAUAAAAGUUGUAUUCCUUGGAUAAGCUAUCAACAACAAUAAAGCAUAAAAAGUUUAAGCGGAGGAACGUUUUGCAAAAGAGCAUAUUUCACUAUCUUUUCAUGUGUCACUAGAGGAGCACCGCACAUCUAGUUUGACAAAAGGGCAUUUCGAUAAAUCCACCCCAAACCUAAAUCGGCCCAUUCGCCGAGUUCUCUUGCCUGUUCACAUGGCCAUCCUAUCAAAUAAAGUGCCACGUCAUCAUGUUUUGCUGACUUGGCUUGUCCACUCACCGAAAAUUCUUCAUUUAUGUCUCAUAUAUGCAAUGUACAAUUCAUUCAUCAUUCAACAGCCCUGCACGAGGCAGGACAAAAGUCUGAGAGUGAGUGUAGAGUAGGAAUAGGAAAAAAAAAAAAAAUAGCCCGUUAAAUGCAAGGAGGUGUGGGGUCCGUGACAUGGGAAGGGGAAUCGACUGAAAUUCUAAAAGCCCAUUUUGGUAGCCUGCAUGCUGCAUCAUCAUCCUUGCAAAACCAUAGCCUUGAAAUUGAACCUAUGCUCGUCUUGACCAUUGCAUUUCCACAAAUUUGGGAUUAAAAACUCAAUUCGAGAAUGGACUUUAAUGAACUUCCCAUCUCUCCUUCCACACUUUUUGUUCGACAUGCCGCUCUUAUGCUACUCGCCGCCACACCCAGUGCCGUUGCUUGUUAGUGAUGGGCAUUGUUAUUUCUUGCACUUAGUGCCAUCACUCUUAGGAUUUGUGCGGACAGCUUUGUCUUGCUCUUUAGGUACUAUUUACACAAAAAAAUGACCAAGUUUUUGUAAUCAAUAGAUGUCGAUUUGAGUGAGUAGAAAGCUUGGUGUUAAGUUUGAUUUGGUUAUUAGUAACUUACCAAUAACAAAAAUACUUGUCAAUCACAUGAUGAUCAUUGAUGAAUGAAGAACACAAUCAUCAACAUAUAACAGUCAUCGAUCAUCGAUUAUCACUUAAUGAGUUGACUAAUUGUUGAACACAUAUGAAAUAAAAAAAGAAAAAGAAAAAAGAGGACAAAUUAGGGAUGCCAUUUGAAGACAAAGAUACCAAUUAAGGGUUAGGUCCAUUGGCAUUUGAGGAGUUGUAAUCACCUAGGUAAGGUUGAUGUAGAUAAUGGAGCCUAAAAAUAUGAAGAUGUAGUUGUAAUUUAUGAGCAAAUAUCCUUUGUAGUAGACUAUACAAAGCGGUGCGCAAUUGUUAUGACAAAAACCCAUUUAUUUUCUCAACUCAUCAAUUUUUAGCACUCGCAUUUCUUUUCUUUCAUAAUUAAUUGUUCUUGAUCCUUAUCACGCAAUUCAAUUCCUUUUUGAAUUGCCACCAAACCUGUUCAACCAAAAAAACCAAACAUCAGCUUCUAGUGAAAGGUAUUUUUGUUGAUUGUGACAGAUUUGGCUUUUGUAGAGAAAUAAAUAUUGAAUGCAACUUUUAUAGCCCAUGCAUUGCGUUUCAAAGUACUUUCUAAUUAAUUCUUGAGCUCAUAUGAUUCGCUAAGAUUGUAUAUGGUAUAUUUCUUUACCUUUAUUGAUUCAUCGAUUGCGACAUGUCCGGCUUUCCUAGCAGAACAGGUACUAGAUGCAAUUUUCAUAAUUCAUAUAUUGCAUUUUAGAAUAUUUUAUAAUAAAUUCUUGAGCCCAUUCAAUUCACUAACAUGGUAUAAAAAUAUACUUUUUACCUUUGUCCAGGAAAGCAAAUAGGGUUUCACAUACUUAUUAAAUCUAAUAAUCCAAUUAGCACCAAUAUACACAAUCUUAUGAAUACAAGAAAUAACAACACAUGUAAAAAUUAUUAAGUGCUAUAUUAUUUUAAGUGUACUAAAAAAUCAUUCAGCUAACUGAAUCGUGAGGAUGGCACGAAGCAGGGAAAGAGCAGAUUAUACCGCAAAUUGUUUUUUUUUCUUUUUUUGGGGGUCGUGCACGCCGCAAUUUAAGUGUUUAUUUAUUUAUUAUUUAUUAUUACAUAAAGAAAACAAAUCGACCGUCGAUUUUGUCAAGGGAGUGUCGACAUAUGUCGCGGGGAACCGUUUGGGACUUUGUUCGUGGCACGGGACUUCAAAGAUCCGAGGGCGGGUACCGGCUCGGAUGAGUUCAUGAUGUGUUCAUCCUCCAGCAACGCGAGUUUUGUCUCCGCGGGGCCCAUUUUGUUUUACGGUUUUGCCCUCGCACUCCCUCCGUAUUUCCCACGAGCUGCCACUGGAACUUGGAGAUGGAGAGAGCCUUUUUUUGGCAGAAUCUUUCUUCACUUCUCUCGCCUUGUCCUUCAUCGGUUUGGCAGUAAAAUUUUUAUUUUUAUAGUGCUUUCGAAGCAUUGUGUCGGAUAAUUCAUGCGACUAAUCGAGUGUUGAGUUUUUGUGAAUUAUUUAUAGGAAUCGCAUAAUUAGGUUAAGUUUGAUUUAAAUCAAAAAUGAUAUAAAGCUUGAUAGCCUCUCAUGUCGAAAUGGAGUUUUUUUUUGGAUCUGGAAAAGUACUAUUAAUUACAUUAAAAGUUCUUCGAAAGUGGCCCAAAAAGGGGCAUCAAAAUAUGUUAAUCUCCACAAAAGCUGUGGACUGAAUUAACCAAGAAAAUAAAAGAAUAUCUAAACGAUGGGCCUUGGCUACUUGAACAGUAACUUAAUUAGCCAUUUCAUUGUAACAUAUGAGGAUCGAUUGAAUAAAUUGAAAUAUCAAAUUAUAUUAUGAAUAUUAAUAUUUUCAUUUAUUUGGUUGAACCCGAUUGAUCGGGUCGAAGAAAAUAAAAUAGAGUUUCAUCCAAUAAAUAAUUCUAAGCAAUGACAAGAUCAUUUGAUUAGAAGUUAUCAUCAUCUCUCCCUCUAUAAAGGUUAUAUAUUCCGAAGAUAAACCUAUCAACGCUAGAGCAUGAAAAGUUCAAGCGGAGCACUCAACGUCUUCCUCACCUUAGCUGAUACGCUACUCUGUAGAAGGGGCAUUUCCGUAAAUCCACCCUUCGACAUUAUUCAGCUCCCCUCUCCUUACGUAAGGCCCCCCAAGACACCCCAAACCUAAAGCUCUCUCUCUCUCUCUCUCUCUCUCUCUCUCUGCAAAGUCUUUUGCCAAUGCCGGCGACGAGGACGACCUGACAGAGGAGGAGGAAGCAUGGCGAAGUUCUUUGGGGACGCGGCGUCGGUGCUGACGAAGGUGCUGAUGAGGAAGAGCGUGAGCCUGUUCGCCUAGUUCUCUUGCCUCUUCACCGACCUCGCCUCCGUCGUCGUGUCGGCUCUCCGGUUCUCCACCAUCAUGGCCAGGCAACCUUCUUCUUUCCCUCCUCAUCCUUCUCCGUCUUCCACUUCUGCUGCUGCUGCUUCCACCUCUGCUUCUUCCGCCAGAAGGUACUCUCCGAUCCUGAUGUCCAUGGCCAUCCGACAUCGUGUGUCCUGAGCUCGAUCGAUGCGGUUGAUUUCUUGCCCUCUUGUCUUUUGGGGUCGGUCUACGUGGGGGUCUUCGGAACUGCCCAUGAUUCGUUCGUAUGGCGAUGAGGGGAAUCUAUGCAAUUCUCUGGUUUCCCAGAUGCAAAAUGUUUGUUCUUCUUGAAGAUGGCGCGGUUCUUGCUGGGGCUGCUAUUUGGUACGCCAGUUUGUGUUUAUGAUUAUUGCUCGCGCUUGCGGAUCUAACAGAGGGACUCGACCAGUCCCGGAUCGUGAUUUCAAGCCGCUGGACGGGUUUGAGAUUUCAUUAUGUACAGGAUCCUGUAGGCUUGCGACCGAUCUGUGAUCUGUCUCGCAGAUGAUUAGGAAACUCGAAUUCAACGAGUCGUUUUACUCAAUUGUGUGAUGAGUUGCUUCAUGUAUCAGAAUAUGUAAUAAUCGAUAAUUACUGAUUUACUCCUUUUCCUUUUGACAAUGUAAACAAUGAUUUUUCCAAUCAUCGUGAUCGUCUGAAUUUAGGAAAUUAAGGUGGUUUUAUUAGAUUGUUGACACCCAAAAAUGGCAAAGUUUUGUGGAAUAGCCGACGAGCAGGGUUUGGUCGACAAGAACAAGAUUUGGUGUAAGAAUUAAGACAGUCGAGAAGAUCGGCAAGUCGAUGUCUAGCAUGAUCGACAAGAUUCUUCAUUGAGAAUUUAAGAAUUGAUUGAUAACAACAGACUCUAUUAGAUUUCGACCAAGUAUAAGAGGACAAUCGAUGAAUGGAGUGAAAAAAUGAUUGCUUUGCUAAUUAAAAGGCAAGGGUGGCAAAUUGACGUGAGUCUGUAACUAUUAGAUAGUGGAGUCGAUAAUUUAGGUAUUUGUAAAUUCUUACAGAUAAGUGUCGUUGAUCGAUGAAACCAUAUGUGAAUUUGUGACUAUUCAAUAACUAUGUAUAUGUAAAUGUUGAUGGUGGGUUAUAAACACUGUAUAUGUCGUAAAGGUUCACUCAAUCAAUCUUAGAACAUCCAAUAUUUUUUUUUCUGUAAUCCUUUAAUUUGUAGCUUUAUUUACAUUGCUAGCAACUAUUGUUCCUGGUAUUCUUACCAUUAAGUUCCUAGCUGUUUACUUUCCUGUCUAAAAUCAAUAUAAAAAAAAAAUUAAGCCGUCUAUCAAUUCAUUCAAAUUCAUUGUACUUAAGGAUUUUUCACUUUUUUGGCAAAACAGAUGAAAGUGCAGAACUCGUCUGUUACGAUUUAGCUACUAGUCAACUGAGUCUUUAACUUUUUAAAAAAGUUCAAUUGAGUGAUAAAGUUGUCGCCAAUAGAUUUAUAAUGUUGGAAACUCAAGGUGGCUCUCAAGCUCAUUUGUGGCCAAGUGUUAUUAAUGAAAACUCAUUUGUGGCCAAGUGGUAUUAAUGAAAGCUCAAGUUGGAGAGAUGUAAGAUAUCUAGUGUCGAAACCCCAUUGAUAGUGAGUCGAGGAUUUGAUUAUACAUAACAUUAAGUACUUAUUCUCACUUCUUCCCUUGAAGCAAAUGGAUUCCGUGAUAAACCUUGCAUCCGAGCCUUUGCUUGCUGAGAAAAAGGAAGUCUAGUGCACUUGCCAAAUAAAUAGGUUGGAGAAAGGCUACUCUGAUGACAACUCGUUUCACUGAGGUCCAUAUUAUUGUAAUUCGUAUAUAGUGUCUCCUAACAUACAAUAACUCAGAAAAUUAACGAUCACGAGUGAGCGUCGGUUCUUAUAUGAUGCAAUGCUUACCAAUUCCCUGAGAACUUUAAGGGCAACUCGAGAGAGGAUACAAGCUCUCCCCCAAAUAGUUUGGUUUCUUGAAGUAAACCCUAACCAAACUUCUUUUGACGAAACAGCACAAGAAAAGGCCACCAAACAGAUGCAAUGUGAAACGAAAACGGCUACUUCCUAAAAAAAGUCAACAUUAUAUAUGUGCCCACCUGUACACAUUUGAUUCAAAACCCUCGUCUACAAUCUCUGAUUUCCGUCGGUUUGAUGGGUAGUUGGAUUUGAUGCCGUGCCGCUUUCCGACACUUUAGUAACAAGCUAUUUCCUUCUUCUAGUUCACUCUAAUUAUAGAGAAAUUGUCACCCCCUCCCUCUCUCAAUUUUAAGUUUUGGCCUUUUUCGUCCUUUUAACUUUUGGAGGGGAGGGAUUUGACCUAAAUCUCUCCCUCCCCUCUCAAUUGCUUUUCCUUUUAUUUUCUCUUAUUUCUUUCCUUACUCUCCCAAUCUUAGGUUUGAGAGACUCUAAUCUAAUUUUAGAUUUAAGAGUUUUAAUGAAUGAGUACUUCACCUCUAGUUUCAAUGGUGUUCACAGUAGUUUCGGUGUCAAAUUUGUACUCGUUCAACUUUGGAUAGCUCGCUUUCACAGGUCUUAUAUUGUAGGAGGCCCGUGUCACCAACCAAAACGGACAAAACAUGUACAGCCUUAGAUAGAAAUUUAAAAAAAAAUCACUUUUUAAAAAAAAAAAUGUGUCCAACCAUUCUUUCUUGAAUUUAACACAUAUUGGCACGCCAAUUCUCGUUCGUUUGAUUUUAAUUAUGCAUUUUUAACUUAUUUAUACUUUUUCAGUAAGAAAAACUCAUUCAUGUUUUAUUAAUGUGUUUCGAGUAUAAAUAAUGUAUUUUCUAUUGCUCAUAUUUCAUAUUACAUAUAUUGCAAUACAUGUUUUUAUUUUUAAAAAUGACUUCAGGCCAAUCCAGGUUAUUUCUGGCUUGAAAAUCUCGGGCCUAAAGGCCCAAACCCGCUCAGAUGGAAAAAGUAUAUAUGAUAAACUCGAAAUUCUAGCCAUGGCAUCAGCCUCCAAAUUCAGGCUAGUCUACGCUUUCGGGCUUCAACUCUUUCUUCUUCCCUUCUUUUCAGCUGGGAUUUAUUUUUAGUUCAAUUUUUUUUGCGAAAGUGGGAAUGCAGACUAAAGAUAAAGAUUCCAAUUAAGGGUCAAAUCUGGUGAUGCUUAAGGAGUUGUAACUGCUUGUUGAUAAGGUUGAUAUGCGAUUGUAGAGCCUAAAAAUAUGAAGAUGUGGUUGUAAUCAUCAAUUAAAAUAUGAACUACUUAUAAGGAGUUAUACUUUUUAGUAACCUAUACAAAGCUGUGUGUAAUUGUUACGAGGACAUAACUACCAUCACAAUAACUUAUUUAUUUUCACAAUUUAUCAAUACUCACAUUUCAUUCCCUUGAAAAUUUAAUUAUUCUCGAUCAUUAUUAUGCAAUUCAAUUUUUGUUUGAAUCACCGCUAGACCUAUUCAAUAAAAAACGAAGAUCAACUUUUGUGAAAUGUAUUUCACCAAUUUGGACGGCUCUCAAUUUCUAGUGAAACAGAUAUCUAGUGCUAACUUCCAUAAACUAGGCAUUGUGUUUUCUAGAAUAUUUCAUAAUAAAAUUCUUUGAUCCCGUCCGAUUCACUAAGAUACCGGGAAAAGUAAAUAGUGUUUCACAAAAUUUUGGAUUUGAUAAUAGAAUUGGUACAAUAUUUACAAUCUCAUGAAUAUAAAAAAAAUAAAUUACUCAUGAUGAAUUAUUAGAUCCAAAAGUAAUAAAGAAUUAAGUGUACUAAUUUGUCAAAAAAAGUGUACUAAACAAUUAUUCAGUUAAUUAAAUCGUGAUGAUGGCAUAAGCUAAAGUAGGCUACACUGAGAUUAAAUGCUCCUUUUCUUCUUCUUUUUCUUUUUCUUUUUUCUAUUAUUAUUUUCAAUAAAAACAAGUUUACCGUCCAUUCUGUCAUGGGGGUGUCGACAUAUUUCGGGGGAAAGCUUUGGACUUUGCACGGGGCGACGGGGUUUGAAAAGAUCAAGGGUCGUGUCCGCUCGGGAUGAGUUCAUGAUGUCUUCAUUCUGCAGCGCCUGAUCUUGUCUCCCCUGGGCCCCUCUUUUACGGUUUUGCCCUUACUCGCUCUGUAUCUCCCACGAGCUGCCACUGGAAACUAAUAUGAAAGAGUGCUUUUAAAAAAAAAGAAGCAGAAAAUAUAAGUACACUUAAAAAAUUCAAAAAAUUUAAAAAAUUUAAUGACUUAAUUACACUUUUUAAAAAUUUUCAGAUUUUGUUACACUUUUGUUAUAAAUUUAAAAAUAGCAGAAGAAGAAAGGAUAAGUGCACUUAAAAUCCUAUAAUUCGUCUUGAAAGUGCAAUCGAAUUCUAAAAAAUUACUAAGUACAAUCAAAUUUAAAAAAAAAAUUAAAAAAUGUAAUCAACAAAACGACUUAAUUUGAUCAAACAAAUUCUAAGACUUAAUUGCACUUUUUAAAUUUUUUCAAACUUAAUUACACUUUUGUGAUAACUUUAUGACUUGAUUGCACAUUUUAAAAGUCUUAUAAAUUUUGUGAUAAAUUUUAAGAUUUUCAUUGCACUUAUAAUAUAUAUAUAUAUAUAUAUAUAUAUAUAUAUAUAUAUAUAUAUAUAUAUAUAUAAAUUGUUUCUCUUGCCUUGCCCUCCAUUGGCAUAGCUGCAAAAAAUUUUAAGUGUCGUUGAAGAUUGAUUAAGCAUAUGUUUUUUUGAAUUAUCUAAUAUUUUUCAUUUGAAGGGACAUGUUCAGGUCGAGUUUAAUGUAAAUUAAAAAUGAUAAAAGAGUUUCGAGAACACUUAAAAGAGUUUUAGUUAGCUUGAUUUUAAUAUAUGACCUUUUACUGAACAAGAGAUGGAUAAAUUUAUUUGGAAUCCAAGGGAAUACUGGCUGUUGCAUACCACAAACAAUGGACCCUAUUUUUUUCCUUUUUCUUUUUGCCGGACUUGAUUAAUUGAGUCGAAGAAAUCAAAUAGGGUUUUAUCCAAUAAAUAAUUCUAGCAUUAUAGCUAAAAAAAAAUCUUGACUAAUAUUAGACACACAUAAACUUUUCGAAUUGUAUGAUAAGAACUUUAGAAAGUAAGGCCAGCCUUCAUUUCAAAGUUAUCAUCUCUCCCUCUAUAAAGGUUGUAUUCCUUGGAUAAGCUAUCAAUAACAAUAAAGCAUAAAAAAGUUUUAGCGUAGGAAUGUUUUGCAAAAGAUGAUAUUUCACUUUCAUUUGUCACUAGAGGAGCACACCACAUCUAGUUUGACAAAAGGGCAUUUCGGUAAAUCCACCUCGAACCUAAAUCAGCCUGUUCGCCGAGUUCUCUUGCCUGUUCACAUGGCUGUCCUGUCAAAUAAAGUGCCACGUCAUCAUGUUUUGCUGACUUGGCUUGUCCACUCACCGAAAAUUUUCAUUUAUGUCUCAUAUCUGCAAUGUACAAUUCAUUCAUCAUUCAACAGCCCGUUAAGUGCAAGGCGGCGUGGGGUUUGUGACAUGGGAAGGGGAAUCAACUGCAAUUCUAAAAGCCCAUUUUGGCGGCCUGUGUGCUGCAUCAUCAUCCUUGCAAAACCAUGGCCUUAAAAUUGAACCUAUACUCGUCUUGUCCAUAGCAUUUCCACAAAUUUGGGAUUACAAACUCAAUUCAAUAAUGGACUUUAAUGAACUUCCCAUUUCUCCUUCCAUGCUUUUUGUUCGACAUGAUGCUCUUACGCUACUUGCCGCCACGCCCGGUGUCGUCACUUAUUAGCGAGCCAUCACUCUUGGGAUAUGUGCUGAUAGCUUUGUCUCAUCCUUUAGGUACUAUUUACACAAAAAAAUGACCAAGUCUUUGUAAUCAACAAACGCUGAUUUGAGUGAGUAGAAAGCUUGGUGUUAAGUUUGAUUUGGUUAUAUAUAACUUACCGAUAACAAAAAUACUUGUCGAUCACAUGAUGAUCAUUGAUGACUGAAAAACACGAUCAUCAACAUACAACAGUCAUCGAUAAGCGAUUAUCACUUAAUGACUUGACUAAUUGUUGAACAUAUAGGAAAUAAAAAAAGAAAAAGAAAAAAAGAGGACAAAUUAGGGAUGCCAUUUGAAGACAAAGAUACCAAUUAAAGGUUAGGUCCAUUGGCAUUUGAGGGGUUGUAAUCACCUAGGUAAGGUUGAUGUAGAUAAUGGAACCUAAAAAUAUGAAGAUGCAGUUGUAAUUUAUGAGCAAAUAUACUUUGUAGUAUACUAUGUAAAGCGGUGCGCAAUUGUUAUGACAAAAACCCAUUUAUUUUCUCAACUCAUCAAUUUUCAAUACUCGCAUUUAUUUUCCUUCAUAUUUAAUUGUUCUUGAUCUUUGUUACACAAUUCAAUUCCUUUUUGAAUUGCCACCAAACUCGUUCAACCAAAAAACCAAACAUCGGCUUCUGGUGAAAGGUAUUUUCAUUGAUUGCGAUAGAUCUGGCUUUUUUAACAAAACAAAUAUUGAAUGCAACUUUCAUAAAUCAGGCAUUGCGUUUUUAAGGUACUUUCUAAUAAAUUCUUGAGCCCAUAUGCUUUGCUAAGAUUGUAUGAUGGCAUAUUUCUUUACCUUCAUUGAUUCAUCGAGGCAUGUCCGGCUUUCCUAGCAGAACAAGAACAAUUCAUACAUUGCGUUUUAGAAUACUUUCUAAUAAAUUUUUGAGUCCAUCCGAUUCGCUAACAUAGUAUAAUGAUAUACUUUUUACCUUUGUCCAGGAAUGCAAAUAGGGUUUCACAUACUUAUUAAAUCUAAUAUUCCAAUUAACACCAAUUUACUUAAUAAGUGCUAUUUUAUUUAGUACACUUAAUAAAUAAUUAACUGUACUAAAAAAUCAUUCAGCUAACUGAAUCGUGAGGACUUUGCUCAAAAAAAAAAAAAAAAAACUGAAUCGUGAGGACGGCACGAGCCAGGGAAGGGCAGGCCAUACCACAAAUUGUUUUUUUUUUUUUUUUUUUUGGGUCGUGCACGCCGCAAUUUAAGUGUUCUUUUUGUUUUUAUAUAUUAUUAAGUAAAGAAAACAAAUCGACCGUCGAUUUUGUCAUGGGAGUGUCGACAUAUGUCGCGGGGAACCGUUUGGACUUUGUUCGUGGCACGGGACUUCAAAGAUCCGAGGGCGGGUACCUGCUCGGAUGAGUUCAUGAUGUCUUCAUCCUCCAGCAACCUGAGUUUUGUCUCCGCGGGGCCCAUUUUGUUUUACGGUUUUGCCCUCGCACUCCCUCCGUAUUUCCCACGAGCUGCCACUGGAACUUGGAGAUGGAGAGCGUUUUUAUGGCAGAAUCUUUCUUCACUCCUCUCGCCUUGUCCUUCAUCGGUUUGGCAGUAAAAUUUUUAUUUUUAUAGUGCUUUCGAAGCAUUGUGUCGGAUCAUUCAUGCGAUUAAUCGGGUGUUAGUUUCUGUGAAUUAUUUAUAGGAAACACACAAUUAGGUUAAGUUUGAUUUAAAUGAAAAAUGGUAUAAAGUUUCGAGGAGAGGCUUGAUAGCCUCUCGUGUCGAAAUGAAGGAGAUUUUUUUGUUUUUUGUUUUUUGGAUCUAGAAAAGUACUAUUAAUUAUCAUCAAAAGUUCUUCGACAGUAGCCCAAAAAAGGGGCAUCAAAACAUGGUAAGAUCCACAAAAGUUAUGGACUAAAUUAACCAAGAAAAUAAAAGAGUAUCUAGACGAUGAACCAUGGCUACUUAAUCGAGGUAUCAAUGAAUAAAUUGGAAUAUGGAAUUAUACUAUGAAUAUUACUAUUUUCAUUUUUUUGACUGAAUCGAUUGACAGAAUUGAAGAAAACAAAAUAGAGUUUUCAUUCAAUAAAUAAGUCUAAGCAUGACAAGAACAUUUGAUUAGAAGUUAUCAUCAUCAUCUCUGCCUCUAUAAAGGUUAUAUAUUCUGAAGAUAAACCUAUCAACGGUAGAGCAUGAAAAGUUCAAGCGGAGCACUCAACGUCUCCCUCACCUUAGCUGAUACACUUCUUUGUAGAAGGCGCAUUUCCGUAAAUCCACCCUUCGACAUUAUUCAGCUCCCCUCUCCUUACGUAAAGCCUCCCAAGACGCUGUCCAAUCCAACCCCAAACCAAACCUAGAGCUUCUCUCUCUCUCUCUCUCUCUCUCUCCUCAAAGUCUUUUGCCAAUGCCGGCGACGAGGACGGCCUGACAGAGGAGGAGGAAGCAUGGCGAAGUUCUUUGGGGACGCGGCGUCGGUGCUGAUGAAGGUGCUGAUGAGGAAGAGCAUCAGCCUGUACGCCGAGUUCUCUUACCUCUUCACCGACCUCGCCUCCCUCGUCGUGUCGGCUCUCCGGUUCUCCACCAUCAUGGCCAGGCAACCUUCUUCUUUCCCUCCUCAUCCUUCUCCAUCUUCCACUUCUCCUUCUGCUGCUUCCGCCUCUACUUCUUCUGCCAUAAGGUACUCGCCGAUCCUGAUGUCCAUGGCCAUCCGACACCGUGUGUCCUGAGCUCGAUCGAUGCGGUUGACAUUGUGCUGCUGGAUCUUCCUUUUCUUGCCCUCUUGUCUUUUGGGGUUGGCUUACGUGGGGUGUUCGGAACUUGCCCAUGAUUCGUUCGUAUGGCGAUGAGGGGAAUCUAUGCACGUCUCUGAUUUCCCAGGCGCAAAAUGUUUGUUCUUCUUGAUGGGGCUGCUAUUUGGGACGCCGGUUUGUGUUUAUGAUUAUCGCUUGCGCUUGCGGAUCUAACGGAGGGACUCGACCGGUCGCGUAUCGCGAUUUCGAGCCGCGGGACGGGUUUGAGAUUUCGUUAUGUAUGGGUUCCUGUAGGCUUGCGACCGAUCUGCGAUCUGUCUCGCAGAUGAUUAGGAAACUCGAAUUCAACGAGUCAUUUCGCUCGAUUGUGUGAUAAAUCGCUUCAUGUAUCAGAACAUGUAAUAAUCGAUAAUUACUAAUUUACUCCUUUUCCUUUUCACAAUCUGAACAAUGGUUUUUCCAAUCAUCGUGAUUGUCUGAAUUUAGGAAAGUAAGGUGGUUUUAUUAGAUCAGGUUGUUGACACCCAAAAAUGGCAAAGUGUUGCGAGAUAGCCGAUGAGCAGGGUUCGGUCGAGAAGAACAGAUUUGAUCUGAGAAUUAGGGCAGUCGAGAAGAUCGGCAAGUCGAUGUCUAGCACAAUCAACAAGAUUCUUCAUUGAGGAUUUAAGAAUUGAUCGAUAACAACAGGCUCUAUUAGAUUUUGACCAAGUAUAAGAAGACAAUCGAUGAACGGAGUGAAAAAAUGAUUGCUUUGCUAAUUAAAAGGCAGGGGUGGCAAAUUGACAUGAGUCUAUAACUGUCAAAUGGUGAAGUCGAUAAUUUAGGUAUUUGUAACUUCUUAUAGAUAAUUGUUGUUGAUUAAUGAAACUAUGUGUGAAUUUGUGAUUAUUCAAUAACUGUGUAUAUGUAAAUGUCGAUGGUGGGUUAUAAACACUUUCGGUGUAUAUGUUGUAAAUGUUCACUCAGUCAAUCUUAGAACAUCCAAUGUUCUUUAUUUUCCGUAAUCCUUUACUUUGUAGCAUUAUUUACAUUGCUGGCAACUAUUGUUCCUGGUAUUCUUACCAUUAAGUUUCCAGCCAUUUACUUUCC